rnacentral:lncRNA from 1 species
GAUAAUUAGAUAAAAUAAUUACAAAAGUUGUAAUUAGUCUCCUGGUUUUCAUGGAUUUCUCACCAUUACAACCUGACCAAACAGAAUGUUUCUUUUUUCGACCUACAAAGACCGGAGAUUUAGGACUAGUUGACCUCAACUGGGGCUUCGUGGGUCUCAAUUAGGGGUUCCUCAUUCUCAAUUGAAGCUUCGUCACUCUCGAUUGGAACAUCAUCAACCUCAAUUGGGGCAUCGUCGAUCGUGAUUGGGGCAUUGUCGAUCUCAAUUGGGGCAUCGUCGAUCUCAAUUGGGGCUUCAUCGAUCUCAAUCGGGGCUUCUUCUGUCUGGAUCGGUGAUCAGCUUGAGAGGAGACAUGUGUUGAUCGGCGAUCAGCUAAAGUGUCGUUGGACAUUGUUAUCCUUAUACUUAACUGAGUUUAACAAAAUUUUGUUUUUUAGGUUAAUUUUGCUAAUAAUCUUCACCACAAGGAAUUAAAUCUAAAGUGUCGUUGGACAUUGUUAUCCUUAUACUUAACUGAGUUUAACAAAAUUUUGUUUUUUAGGUUAAUUUUGCUAAUAAUCUUCACCACAAGGAAUUAAAUCCUAAUUUUUUUUACCACAUGGGUAAUCCUCCGAAUACCCUAUCACCACAGGAACUAUUAAUCUGAUUUGGCCAAAAAUUUAUUGUAUCAAAACAUGGGUACAUUCUUCAAAAUCACAAAAAAAGACAUUAGGCUUAAUAACAUUAGUAAAUUUCUUCAAUUAAACUUGACAUAGAUACAUUCUAAAAUCAAAGAAAAAAGAAUGUACCCAUAUAAGUUUAAAAAUGGAUUAGAAAAAAAUUGAAUAGAUUUUAUAUAUUAAAAAAGGGUACAUUUUACAUAUAAACAAAUUGGUAUAUUUAAGAAUGAG